AUUGAACGCUGGCGGCAGGCCUAACACAUGCAAGUCGAACGGUAACAGGAAGACGCUUGCUUCUUUGCUGACGAGUGGCGGACGGGUGAGUAAUGUCUGGGAAACUGCCUGAUGGAGGGGGAUAACUACUGGAAACGGUAGCUAAUACCGCAUAACGUCGCAAGACCAAAGAGGGGGACCUUCGGGCCUCUUGCCAUCGGCUGUGCCCAGAUGGGAUUAGCUAGUAGGUGGGGUAACGGCUCACCUAGGCGACGAUCCCUAGCUGGUCUGAGAGGAUGACCAGCCACACUGGAACUGAGACACGGUCCAGACUCCUACGGGAGGCAGCAGUGGGGAAUAUUGCACAAUGGGCGCAAGCCUGAUGCAGCCAUGCCGCGUGUAUGAAGAAGGCCUUCGGGUUGUAAAGUACUUUCAGCGGGGAGGAAGGGAGUAAAGUUAAUACCUUUGCUCAUUGACGUUACCCGCAGAAGAAGCACCGGCUAACUCCGUG
rnacentral:rRNA from 1 species